GACAUGGUGGCUUAGGGGUUAGCAUGUGUGCCUCGCACCUCCAGGAUUGGGGGUUUGAAUCCCACCUGUGCCC